UACGUAGGGUGCGAGCGUUAAUCGGAAUUACUGGGCGUAAAGCGCGCGUAGGCGGCCCGGUAAGUCCGCUGUAAAAGUCAAAGGCUCAACCUUUGAAUGUCAGCGGAUACUGCCGGGCUAGAGUCCGGAAGAGGCGAGUGGAAUUCCUGGUGUAGCGGUGGAAUGCGCAGAUAUCGGAAGGAACACCGGUGGCGAAGGCGGCGUCCUGGACCAACACUGACACUGAGGAGCGAAAGCCAGGGGAGCAAACGGG
rnacentral:rRNA from 1 species